CGAGAGACAUCGAGACCCGAAUGAUCUUCGUCCAUCAACGAAGCUCCACCCGCCGAACUCAGAUCAACCACUCCUUCCGUCGGUUCCCCCUCGAUCGAUCGAAACUCCGGCGGCCCCAGAUCGAUGGCGGCUGUGCUCCGGUCCACUGUCGGCCUCACGCUCCGGCGGGCCUCCCGCCUCUCCUCCUCCACCGGCGGCCCCGCGUCCGCCAGCACCAGGGUGCGGACGAUGUACACCGGUGGGCAGCACGGCCGCUUCGACGAUGGGCCACCCGGGGGGUGGCCGGAUUUUUGCUUUCACUUCCUUGCCCUCGUCGGAAUAGGUAUGUUCACGUGUGCGAUUGAUUGGGCCGGGCCGCCGGGGCUCGUCGGAUCACGAGGAGGACGAAUCGGAGGCCGAGGUAGGUAGAGAAGAACAAGACGAGACCUGUGGAGGGUGGAUUGUCGGACAAACCAACGCGCUUGUAAUAUACUAGCUCUGUUCCUAAUAAUGUAAGAUUGAACUGCCAAAACGACUUACGUUAGAGAAUAGAGAUGUAUUUUUUUGUUAAUUCAGACCUUUUCUGCGGGAGUUAAUUCGUCCUACUAGCGAUUGUUACAGUAUCUCACAUCUAACUUUCUAAUCACAUCAAGAUUAAUUUUCUUUGCUUUUUCUUUAUUAAUUGAUCUUGUUCAUGCACGCCUCACUUUGUUAAUUUUUUUUGUCUCGGCUGCAAGUCCGUCCCUGAAUUGCAACUGGACCCGAAACUUUUUUUGUCGCAGUUUUAAGUCCACCCUCAACUUGCAACUGAUCUUAUUUAGUCCCAGUUGCAAGUCCAUCCUUGACUCGCAACUGGGCCCGAUUUUUUUUCCCGGUUACAAGUCCACCAUCAGCUCACAACUAGAUUCGGCCUUUUUCCCCAGUUGAUAGUACUGGGUCACCAUUUUGUCUCAGUUGCAAGUCUAUCGUCAACUCGCAACUAGGCCCAACCUUUUUUGUCCCAGUUGUAAGUCCACUCGCAACUGGGGCCCGAUCUCUUUUUGUCCCAGUUGCAAGUCCACCGUCGACUCGCCACUAGGUCUAACAUUUUUUUGUCCUAAUUGCAAGUCCACCCUCGACUCAUGACUGGAGUGUGAUCUUUUUUCUGUCCCAGUUACAAGUCCACCCUUGACUCGCUACUGGUCCGACCAUUUUUUUGUGACAAGUCCACAUGCGACUCGCAACUGGGACCCGACCUUUUUUUGCCUA